AUACGUACUGAAACAGCUACCGGAAUCCAGAAGUAAAACUUUUUCACCUGAGUAUCACAUAAGCUCAGCCAUUUCGCUAUGGUACUCUAAGGUCUAAACAUGGCAAAUAGUCUAAGUCUGUAACAAUUAUUAUAGAUAUCAGUACAAACAACUUAAUGGUGAGGAGACAGUUAUAUCAUGAUUUUCAUGCUGAUUAUUAUUCCUAUAUAUGAUGUGCUUCCUUCAGGUUGGAUGAUGAUCUUGCCAAUGAUUUUGCCGCAAGUUAUGCAGUUGCUGCCUCAAGCUUACUGCCUUUGUUUGCUAAACCAUGAAACCAGCACAACAAUAAGAGACUCCAAUUGCAAGAGACCUUCCAGGAAAUCUUUAGUAGGCAUCAUAUGUUCAAUACAAAUAUACCUGAGGUUGUUAGAGCAAAUUAUCUGCUCAUGUACGAUUACACUAUCUCUAUUAUCAGAAAAUCACAAGAACUUUUGUUGCUGGGUUUUGCAUUAGUACAAGUAUCUGGCUCCUGAUUUUUCUUGACGUUUAUCAUUUUCCAUUCUGAGCUAUACGAGCAAUAGGCUCCGGAUUGUAGUGAUCUCCUGUGCAAGUUUUACCUCUUCGGCAAAAAAUAAUUGUCGGCCUACGGGGCAAACUAUUCUGUCCCCUCUAACUAAUAAUGUCUUUGAACAUUUUGAUCAUAUACCCUCCCAUUUUAUCAAAAAUUGAGGAUUUAUUCUUCUGUCACUGACAUGUAGGGUUUAUCUGAGGGCAUUGACAUGCGGACCAUGAGGGUAAAUCCUCAAUUUUAAUCUAAUGGGAGGGCAUAUGAUCAAGAUCCACAUUAAGGACCAGCUAUUUAA
rnacentral:precursor_RNA from 1 species